rnacentral:rRNA from 1 species
UACGUAGGGUGCAAGCGUUGUCCGGAAUUAUUGGGCGUAAAGAGCUCGUAGGCGGUCAGGUAGGUCCGCUGUGAAAACUCGAGGCUCAACCUCGAGACGCCGAUGGAAACCAUCUGACUAGAGUCCGGAAGAGGAGAGUGGAAUUCCUGGUGUAGCGGUGAAAUGCGCAGAUAUCAGGAAGAACACCCGUGGCUAAGGCGGCUCUCUAGUACGGUACUGACGCUGAGACGCGAAAGCGUGGGGAGCGAACAGG